rnacentral:lncRNA from 1 species
UUCUUUCAGGUUCUACGUGGAUUUUAUUUUUAGUGGUGCAGAAUGAUUUCUGAAGCAUUCAGCUGUAAUAACAGAAGAGGGCAACAGAUGGUUUUGUGAAACAUCAGGCUCCUUAUUUUGAAGAGAAUGGCUGCAAGGAAAAGGAAGGUUCUCUUUAGCUGUGAUACUCAUUCUCUUAGAGGUCACACGCCAGAGGCUUUUGUCAUUCUGGAGAAGAGCAGAGGUUAGUAGCAUGCGCUGUGAAAGCUCCACUUGGAAAACCAUCACAAGAAAGAGAUGCAUUCAGAAAGGGAGGGCCAGAGUGCAGUCAGCAAUGUUAAGGAAGAGAGUCCAGAAAUUCUCCACUCGGCACGGUUGCAGUGGAAAGAACCGGCAUGCUAAGGCAUUACUGAGAUGAAAGUGGCCCAGCUUACAGCAACUUGUCCAUCAGCAAGAAAUACAGGUGUUAAAGCACUGAAACUUUAAGACUGUUACGCCACUCACAUGAAUUACACUGACUCAAUUUUCUAUAUAUGUACUAGUCACAGCAAGUAGAAAGUGCAAUAGGGGAAAAAAGAUCCCAGUCACAGUAACGAGAGGAACAGAAAGCCUAGACAUGCAGCUGACAAGAAAUGUGCAAGAUCUGUAUCCAAACACCUGUGGAGGUUCCCAAGGUUCCCAAACUUGAUCUGCAUAUUCGAUGCAAUCCUGACCAAAAUUACAACAGUAUGUUUUUAGAACCUGACACACUGAUUCCCACAUUCAUCUGGCAGAGUAAAUAAAUGCAAAAAAAAAAAAACUAAUAAAUUCUGAUUUAAAACACACAAUUAAGGGAAAUAGGCCAGAUAUCAAAACAUAUUGUCUUGUUAUAGAAAUUUACAUAAUGUGUUUAUGGAGGAAAGGACAAAUCAAUAGAACUAAACAGAAAAUCUAGACAUAUCACUAAGGUGGCAUUUUUUAAUCAGUGUGGAAAAAUGCUUUCCUCCAUGUAUUCAAUGGUUUUCAAGUAACUGGCCAUCCAUUAAGGAGAAAUAUAAAAUUAGAUAUACCAUGGCCAA